GCUACCAACAGGGUACUGACAGAUGUCUUUAUUCCUCUUAAAGAUAGGAGAUUAUCUGUGGACUUUUCAGCUGCAAUUGACUGGUCCUUGAUUUUUGCUGCAAACGACUAUCCUUUGACUUUCUAUCACCAGCUGAUGUUUGCUUGCACUCAGACUGUUCAUCUAGUUAAAUACUCCAUAUGAAUUGAGGCUCUUCAGUGCCCAUGUUAUUGUCUUACUUAAUUCCCCUGUAUUCACCUUGAUUUUAUUACGCUUCAAGGUAUGGCUGUUUUACAUAUAUUAACCCUAUUGACUCUAUUAUGGAUUUGUUUAAUUAGUUGAAACAGAUCAUAAUUUAAUAACACAUAUUCUAACAUAGAUUCUUUUUCUUCUGUAUUUUUAAGUCCUGUCAAUUGAACUUGGAUUUCAAUAUCCACCCUGAGGGGUUUUUUUCCUUGACUGGCUGUGCAUGAAGCUAGGAGUAAUCUAGAGAGACGAUCUUGUCCUAAUUCCCCUGAAGAAGCCAAGAGGCGAAACUAGUAGGGUCGACCUGAUCGAAAAAAUUAUUUCUAGAUCUUGCUCCCACAAAAUAAUUUAUGCACUAUCUGUAUAUUGAAUUACUGUAUUUUGUAAAAAUUGAAUAAAUAAACCUUUUUUAUAUAUUUUUAUAUAUACAUACAUACUUUGUCUGGUUUUCUUCAUCGCACCGCAACAAUCCCCCCAACUCUUCCAAAAAAUUCCCCUCCUUUGAAUCUAUUUUGGGAUGAGGUGCUGUAUCCUUUUUUAGGACUCUCGAUCACAUACCCCCCA